GGGAUCUGGUAGAAACGAGCGGUACGCGGCGGCGGACGAGGAAGAGUACAAGGACAAGCCAUGGAGGCCAGCGCGGGGCUAGUUGCGGGCUCCCACAACCGCAACGAGCUCAUCGUCAUCCGCCGCGACGGCGAUCCUGCGCCGAAGCCGCUGCGGCUGCAGAACGUGAAGGUCUGCCAGAUUUGUGGCGAUGACGUCGGGCUGACUCCUGACGGCGAGCCGUUCGUGGCAUGCAACGAGUGCGCCUUCCCCGUCUGUCGCGACUGCUAUGAGUACGAGCGCCGCAAGGGCACGCAGAACUGCCCAUAGUGCAAGACCCGCUUCAAGCGCAUCAAGGGCACGCAGAACUGCCCAUAGUGCAAGACCCGCUUCAAGCGCAUCAAGGACAACAAUGCCUAGUCCCAAUUGGAUUGGGGUCAUUUGAUUCUUUCUGUUUGCUGCAGGCUGUGCGCGUGUGCCAGGGGAUGAGGAGGAGGAUGGCGGACAGGAACGACACCCAGUAUGUCACCGAGUCCAUGCUCCACGCCUGCAUGAGCUACGGCCGUGGUGGAGCUGACCUCAAUGGCCAUCAGCUUUUCCAGCCAAUCCCCAAUGUUCCCCUCCUCACCAAUGGGCAGAUGGUUGAUCACAUACCUUUUCUUGGUAAUACUAAAGAAAUUAUCCUCAAGGUUCUUAUAUCCCUUUGAACUCAAGAACGGCCCUGGCCUAUUGCCAAGUUGAACCUCCUUUGCACAUACCUCACAAAAGAUUCUAGUAAGGUAUGCGUCCCAAAGUGCCUUCUCCAUCUAUUGCAUUGACCAAUCCGUUACCAAAAAUAUAUAUACAUGGUUGCAACAUAAUUACAACGCAUCAUACAACAAGCACCCGGCAACAUUAGCGGCAUUAUCUACUAACAUCAAUACAGGAGUAUUAUGACCACCGUCAACAAAUUAACAACGACAACAUCACAGAAGUACCAUUAUAGCCAGAAAUUAUCAACAAAUACUACCAAUCAAAGCACAACGAAGCAUACAAAAUUAGAGAAAAAUAAUUACCACAACAGGCCGGCUUGGUCCGGAGGAAACGAGGACGAAGGGGGCGCUGCGGGGCGACAGAGUGAGGUCAGGCCACGGCGGGGGCAGGCGGGCGCCGGAGAGAGAUGCAGGCGGCGGCUGGAGGGCGUGAGGUCAGGCGGCGGCUGGAGGGCAGGCGGUGGCUGGAGGGCAGGCGGGGGCGGGAGGAUGCGAGGCACGUGGGGGCAGGAGGGGCCCCGGGGAAGGAGUGCGGCGGCGGGAUGGAGUGCGGCGGCUGGAGGGCAGGCGGCGGCCGGGCCAGGAGGAACGGCCAGCGGCGGCUGGAGGGCAGCGGCGGCGGGAGACCCUGCUCCAGACGGAGAUGGGAUCGAUCGACGGAGACUUGGAGAGACGGAGAGAUAUUUGACGUGGCAGAGAUGAGAGAAAUAACCGGCUGAAUUCCUUUUAGCGGGGGCAUAUGCCCGUUAAUUUCUAUCAACUUUCAGUGAACAGGGUACGUGAGUUUUCAAUAAGCCCGAGAACGAGAAGUACCUUGUGCACCUGAUUUGUCCAACAUAACUAAAAGGUUUGAACUUUGGUAAAAAAACGGGUCCAAAUUCGUUGUUUGGUUGGAUUUCAGCUUUUUUUCCAUUGAAAGCUGCUCUGAAAGCCCAAACAAAUGGAGCCUUAGAUUCUUCACUCUGUUCCUUUAGUUGAGUAUUAAUCGAAAUAUUACAUGUAUCUAGACGCUUUGAGACAAAUAGUAUGGGUCGGAGGGAGUAUUUUUUUUCUUUGUUGGAAAGAAUAGAAUGAUUUUAACUUGGUGUUUGGUUGCAAAAUGAAAACAAUUCCAGAUUUUGUUUAGUCCGAGGAAUAGGAUGGAACAGCAUUUUGUUAUCCUCUUAGAUUAUCUCUAGGUCUAAUGAAUUUUAAUCAUGAUUUUUUUAUACUUUCUUAUUUUCACAAAGGUUAUCGUAUUUGGUUAGUGUCAAGACAAUUCUUUGAUCAAAAAUUACCAGGCUAAUAUAUGUUUUUAAGAAAUGCAAUUUAUAUCAAUAAAUUUCUCUUCAAAAGUUCUUAUUAAUAAUUGUAAUUUUCUAUCAUACAAAUUACUUAUUAAUAAAGUUAUUAGUUGUCAGAGUCAUCUUAACGAAACCAAAUAUGAUAACCUUUAAGGAGGGGAGUAGCUUUUAACAAUUUGGUCAAAUUUUCGGUCACAUCCUAUAUACUUAUACAACUCAUCCUCACUAAGUAUUUUCCUUACACAAGGAACCAUGUCAUAUAAUCGGUUUGUCCACAGAUACAUAGUGGUGAUCCCAUCACUAAACAUUGAUCCUAGGGGUGAAACCGGACCGCAUAAUUUCCGGCCGAAUCCGGUUCCAGAUCCAGUCGGAUAGGAUAUGGAAGAUGAAGAGUCCGUUUGGUUCCCGGGCAAAAGCUAAACUAGCCUGCCCAGCAAGGCCCGACGUUUGGAACCCAAAAAAAAUCCUAGCUAUUCAGGGCGAGCUAGCCCGACCGGGUGAGAAAAUCCUUGCCCACGAAGGAGAGCGAGAUCGGCUCGUCUCCGACGGCAAGAAAACGAUUCGCGCGAAAAAAAAAGUCACCGCUCCUCACGGAACCCAUGACCUCAUCCUCAACAGCUCGUACCGAUUCCUCCGCUUGCCUGGAUCUUCUCCUCCGUCUCGAUCCCUCCUCGCCUGGAUCUUCGAUUCGCCUCUCCAUCCCAAUUCCUACUCUUCUGCUUGCCUGGAUUUUCGAUUCUCCUCUCCAUCCCGAGUCCUCCUCUUCCCUGGAUCUGCGCCAUGGACUUGGUGCUCUCCCCCCCCCCCCCUAAAUAGAAACAGUCGCUGCUCUAAUUCAUCGCCAAGAUUGGGGCUGGAGUUGAAGAAUUACACAAAAUCGGUCAGCUCAUCUGUCUGGAAUCUUCUACGAGACCAGCUGCAAUUAGCAGCCCAAUCCUUCAGGUUCGCUCACAUAUCCCACAUGUUUUUUUGUCUAUUUUCUGUGAUUGAGGUUGAUGGCCAUCGGUCUAGUGUAUUUGCUCUCUGUCUCUCUUUAUUUAUUGUUGGCUGUAGUACCUACAUCUGAAACUAAAAGUGCGUGUUAAUUAGUACUGGUUGGAUGUGUUAAUUAGUACUAGUUGGAUGUUCUCUGAUGCUGUAGUUUAAGGUAUGCAUACAUCAACUUCGUUAUGAGCGCAAGAAUUGAAAUGUAAACCACCGAAUUUUUCUUCCUUUUAAAUCAACAUUGCCUUGUCUAAUAUUUUCUGUGAUUUUGUACAGUACUGGUAACACUCUGUGUAACCUAUGUUCAGGUUUCAGUUCAUCAUAGAUGGACGACAGGGCAGAAAUUAAUAGAAAAGUUGCAUUCUUCGGUGCAUUUUUAGUGGCAUACUGGACAUUUAUCAUGUAUCUACGCAAUUCUAGUGACCCCGUAAGAUAUUCAUUGCUAGAGAAAAAUAAAGAAAGGAUGGCAUAUCUACGGAAAUUAUACUGUGGUGAGGAUCUUCAAACUAUGUCAUAAGUUAUGAAGUUUGGGAUCACUUAAGGAUACUUGGCACUGUACCGUAGACGAACAAAUUGCCAUGUUUCUCACUACAGUAGGGCAUCAUAAGAAAAAUAUCCAUAUCAGUUUUCAUUUCACGAGAUCCGACGAGACAGUGAGUCGUUACUUCAAUCAAGUGUUAUUUGCAAUUGGACAACUUGGACCAGAAAUGCUUAGACAUCGCACUUCGACAUACCAUCCAAAAUUCAAGGCAAUCCACGAUUUGAUCCCUAUUUUAAGGACUGCAUUGGAGCUAUUGAUGGAACCCAUGUUCCAUGCAACGUUCCAUCACGAAUGUGCUAGGUGGGAGGGUUCAGCACACGAUUCAACCGUUCUAAGACAUUCUUUUGAGCAUCCAAAUGGCCUCCGAGUCCUGGAAGGUAAGUAUUAUCUUGCGGAUGCUGGGUAUGCAGCAAAGAGAGGAUUCCUACCACCUUUCCGCCAAACUCGAUAUCACUUGCGUGAGUGGAGGGGGAAUAGAGCCCGUACACCAAAUGAACUUUUCAACUUAAGGCACUCAUCUCUCUGUACUACCGUUGAGAGAGCAUUUGGAACUUUAAAGAAUCGAUUCAAAGUUCUUACAACUAGACCUUAUUAUCCUUUUCCUUCCCAAGUACGACUUGUUAUAGCAUGUUGCAUCCUUCACAAUUGGAUAUUGCUAAAGGGAGGACCCGAUGAGCUAGUCUAUAGUGAGCAGAACUGGUUCGAUCAUUAUCCAAGAUCAGCUGGCCGUGUCCAACGAGAUUUGCAUGAGGAACAAAGGCAAGUUCUGCAAGAGAGGGACACCAUGGCAGAUAGCAUGUGGAGAAACAGACAUAAUGGAACAAUGUGGUGUGGCAGCCCCAGGUUGUGAAAGAAAUGCUUAGAUAUUACAAGGAGAAAAUCCAGGCUGAGGGGAGACAACUUGUAUUUAAAGAGACACAUCAUGAGGAGUGUGCAAAACAAAUAAAUGCAAAGUUUUCCACAAACUUCACACACCGGCAAGUUUACCACAAAUUCCACAAGUUGAAAGGUCAGUGGAAGGUUAUUCUAGAGGCAAAGAGCUUAAGUGGCGCCAAUUUUGAUGAUGUCCAUAAGAUCAUACUAUAUGAUGAGACUGAAGUCGUCCGGAUGAAAAAUGACAAAGACAAAAGGGCAAAAUACAUAAAUGUGCCCAUUAGUUGUUUUGAUGAGAUGGAAUCUAUAUUUCAAGACAAGCAUGCCAUGGGCGAAUUCACGGUCCCGCAAACACCAUUUGAGAACACAUGUGCUAAAGACAACGAUUUCAUCGGUGAUAAGAGUGCAACCAAUGGUGAGGCUGAUCCUGGUACACACUACGACUCAGAUUGCCUUCCUGAGGAGUCGAACAAUGAAGGUAACUCUUCAAAGCGUGCUACAGGUGGCAAGCGUGAUAAAGGUAAAAGGGUGAGGCGUGAUGAUGUGGUUGAAGACAUGACACGCUCUCUACGUGGUAUGUCCGAAACCAUGCGAUUUCACGCAUGCCACCCACCCAAAUGAGAAUUUAUUCAAAAUCAUUGAUGAUAUGGAGAGGAGUACCCUCUCUUGAUGCGACUCGCCCUACAAACAGCUUUAGCCACCAACGGAGAUGUUGCUGCCAUGCUAAAGGGAAGACCAAUGCCUUCGAUCCAAGAGUAUGUGAGGCAAUGGAUGCAACAAAAUUCAUCUUCGAUUUAAUAUGUUUUUAGCCAAACUUUAGGAUAAUAAUUUGUUCUUGGUAGCCUUUUUUCCUUGAAGGGAAAUAACACCCUUGCAUGAUGCGUAAUUUGAUUCAGUCUGUAA